UUGAAAGGGAAACGAUUGAAGUCAGUCGUACCGACGAGAAAUCAACUUAUCGUGUGCGAACUUGUGGGCGUGCGUGAGUUUCGGCCUCGCUGUUUGCAUGUUUGUGCGUUUUGGGUGUACUUUUUCGUAUGGUAGGCCAACAUCAGUUUCGAUUACUAUAAAAUGACCGGCGGAAUGUAGCUUCGAUUUCGGUUGAAGUGUUAUAGCCUCUGGUAGAUGUGGUGAUUGGGACUGAGGAUUGCAACGAAUAUCCUUUGGGCUAUCCGUCUGAUCUCUGAAUGUUGCUCAGGUGCCGAAAGCGUGCUUACGGUCAUCUAAGUUGACGGUCAAUAGGUUAGAACGUGAUUACAUUCGUUAAGGAUG
rnacentral:rRNA from 1 species